rnacentral:tRNA from 1 species
AGUUCGUUGGACUGGAUCGUGUUGACGAUCUCCUGAAUCGUCACUUGAAAGUCGAGGGCGAUGCCAUCACCGUUCAAGUCGGAGAGGGUUUU